rnacentral:rRNA from 1 species
UACGAAGGGGGCUAGCGUUGCUCGGAAUUAUUGGGCGUAAAGCGCGUGUAGGCGGCUUUGCAAGUCGGGUGUGAAAGCCCUCAGCUCAACUGAGGAAGUGCGCCCGAAACUGCAGAGCUUGAGUACCGGAGAGGAUGGCGGAAUUCCCCAAGUAGAGGUGAAAUUCGUAGAUAUGGGGAGGAACACCGGUGGCGAAGGCGGCCAUCUGGACGGAUACUGACGCUGAGACGCGAAAGCGUGGGGAGCAAACAGG